GCCGAAGUGGUGGAAUUGGUAGACACGCUAGGUUCAGGGUCUAGUGGUCGCAAGGCCAUGGGAGUUCGAGUCUCCCCUUCGGCACCA
rnacentral:tRNA from 5 species